rnacentral:lncRNA from 1 species
CAGUGAGGUAUGGCGUGUCCUCUCCAUGACAAUGUGAGGGAAAGUGAUGUAUGCCACUUCCAGGUUCUAUGGAACCCUGGAAUGAAGAGGAUGCCAACCUUGAAAAGCUAUUCUAGUUCUUUCAAUGUGCCAUAAUGGUAUAGGAGCAAAUGUUUCUGCUGAGGACACAGCAACGAAGCACCAAUUUUCACUGAGGUUCCUCACCAAACACUGAAUCCGCAAGUGCCUUGAUAUUGAACUUUC